rnacentral:ncRNA from 1 species
CAAUGGGGUGCCUAAAAAAAUAGGGCUGAGAUUAUACUCACAAAACCUGAUCCGGAUAAUGCCGGCGUAGGGAAAGC